AUCUAAUCCAUUAAUUUAUUGGUGUUCUGAUCUUGACCAUUCAUUUAAUUUGAGUAGAUCCUGGUUACCAGUAGAACAGGUUACGUAUAUAAACAAAACAAAAAAAAUCAGAAUUUUCUUUUGCACUUGCACGCUUCUUUCUCCCCUUCCAACUCUUCUUCCACGCCUCCUCCCUUCCAAAACAGCCACAAGAAACCUAAACGGCGACUAAACAAAACCCUCUCUUUCUACACUUCUUCUCUUCCAAAUCAACCACAAUAAACCUGGACGGCUACUAAACAAAACCCUAAGGAAGACUCACAAAAGAAGAAAUUGAGUCUUUCAAUUCCAGUCGUUCUCUGGCCGGCGACGAUAUUAGAGCAUUGAAUCCGUCAAACAGGAGAACUGGUCAGUACAGAGGAACAGAGAAGAAGAACAAAGCAAGAAAACAACAGAGAGGAGGAACAUGCUGAGAAUACAGCGAAACCCACAUUAGAAAACGAGUCAAUUUCAGAUGAAGAAUCAAGGAUAGCUCCCAAAACUGAGAAAAAGUUGGACUUUUUGAAAGAAUUCAAAGGUUCAAUUAAAGAAAGAUUCCUCAGCUCCUCAAACAUUGAAGAAUUGAAAGCUGUAGAUGUCUCUGUAGGGCCUCUCAUACUCACAAGGUGUAAAUGAAAACCAACAAGAACCGGAGAGAAGCUUGAUCUAGAUGAGCGAAAGUUCUUGAAUAAUAAUAGUUAUAUAAAUAAAUAUCUAAGGCUCUGUGCAAAGAGAUUUGCUCUUAUGAACAUCUCCAUUUUUUUCAAACUCUAAUAGUUAUAUCAUGUAAAUGCAGAUAUUUCUGUUGCCAGUGGAGUUGCAAAAGGGAUAAUAAGAAAUUCCUACAAGUUAGAAGUUUCCUUGUUGAGAACUUAAGAAUGAAUGAUCUAGAAAUGCACAUGCUUUUGAUCGUCU